rnacentral:rRNA from 1 species
UGCCAGACUCCUACGGGAGGCAGCAGUGGGGAAUAUUGCACAAUGGGGGAAACCCUGAUGCAGCGACGCCGCGUGAGCGAUGAAGUAUUUCGGUAUGUAAAGCUCUAUCAGCAGGGAAGAAAAUGACGGUACCUGACUAAGAAGCCCCGGCUAACUACGUGCCAGCAGCCGCGGUAAUACGUAGGGGGCAAGCGUUAUCCGGAUUUACUGGGUGUAAAGGGAGCGUAGACGGCUGUGCAAGCCAGAUGUGAAAGCCCGGGGCUCAACCCCGGGACUGCAUUUGGAACUGUGUGGCUGGAGUGUCGGAGAGGCAGGCGGAAUUCCUAGUGUAGUGGUGAAAUGCGUAGAUAUUAGGAGGAACACCAGUGGCGAAGGCGGCCUGCUGGACGAUGACUGACGUUGAGGCUCGAAAGCGUGGGGAGCAAACAGGAUUAGAUACCCGGGUAUU